rnacentral:rRNA from 1 species
AGUGAACGCUGGCGGUAGGCCUAACACAUGCAAGUCGAACGGCAGCACAGGAGAGCUUGCUCUCUGGGUGGCGAGUGGCGGACGGGUGAGGAAUACAUCGGAAUCUACUUUUUCGUGGGGGAUAACGUAGGGAAACUUACGCUAAUACCGCAUACGACCUACGGGUGAAAGCAGGGGAUCUUCGGACCUUGCGCGAUUGAAUGCGCCGAUGUCGGAUUAGCUAGUUGGCGGGGUAAAGGCCCACCAAGGCGACGAUCCGUAGCUGGUCUGAAAGGAUGAUCAGCCACACUGGAACUGAGACACGGUCCAGACUCCUACGGGAGGCAGCAGUGGGGAAUAUUGGACAAUGGGCGCAAGCCUGAUCCAGCCAUACCGCGUGGGUGAAGAAGGCCUUCGGGUUGUAAAGCCCUUUUGUUGGGAAAGAAAUCCAGCUGGUUAAUACCCGGUUGGGAUGACGGUACCCAAAGAAUAAGCACCGGCUAACUUCGUGCCAGCCGCCGCGGUAA